AUGUAAGCAGUGAACUUAUCAGCAAUUUUACAGACAACGGUGAUGGAACAGCGUCUGCAACAAUUGAAGCUUUUAAGUUCUACAAUAACGCCCAAGUUUUCUUGACAUGCGAUCUGAAGGUCUGUCCAAGCGGCUCGAGCUCGUGCGACACCUCGUGUGCAGGUUCCAGAAAGAGAGAAGUAGGCGACAUAUUCAAAAGAUCCGCUCCGGAAUCAGAGACUGUAGGCUUUUACCCAAGGGAGGUUCACAACGUAUUGACAGUUUUUGAUCCGAGCGAAAACAGCGCCAUUAUAGUUACUCCAUUUGGAUGGAGCUUUGUCUUUACCUUGACCUUUGAGCUUUGCCAUCGUCUGUCAAGCGUCUUUUGAUGCCAACAACAAAUGUCCGGCACAUAGAAAAUCUAUCUGACGUUUGCUACGCUAUACAGCUGUCUGUUGUUUUGUCGCAUUGUGCAUUUGACUAUUAAAUGUAUAG
rnacentral:lncRNA from 1 species